AUCGAACGCUGGCGGCAGGCCUAACACAUGCAAGUCGAACGAGUGGCGGACGGGUGAGUAAUGUCUGGGAAACUGCCCGAUGGAGGGGGAUAACUACUGGAAACGGUAGCUAAUACCGCAUACCAUCGGAUGUGCCCAGGUGGGUUUCGCUUGUAGGUGGGGUAACGGCCCACCUAGGCGACGAUCCCUAGCUGGUCUGAGAGGGUGAACAGCGACACUGGAAAUGAGACACGGGCCAGGCUCCUGAGGGAGGCAGCAGGGGGGAAUAGUGCAAAAUGGGCGAAAGCCUGAUGCAGCCAUGCGGCGUGUAUGAAGAAGGCCGUAGGGUUGUAAAGUACUUUCAGCGAGGAGGCGUUACUCGCAGAAGAAGCACCGGCUAACUCCGUGCCAGCAGCCGCGGUAAUAC
rnacentral:rRNA from 1 species